CUUGUACACACCGCCCGUCACACCAUGGGAGUGGGUUUCACCAGAAGUAGGUAGCUUAACCUUCGGGAGGGCGCUUACCACGGUGAGAUUCAUGACUGGGUG
rnacentral:rRNA from 1 species